CACAGCGAAAGUUGUGCUAAUACCGCAUAAUAUGUUUUUACCGCAUGAUAGAAACAUCAAAGAUUUAUCGCUUAUGGAUGGACUCGCGUCUGAUUAGAUAGUUGUGGGGUAACGGCUCACCAAGUCGACGAUCAGUAGCCGAACUGAGAGGUUGAUCGGCCACAUUGGGACUGAGACACGGCCCAGACUCCUACGGGAGGCAGCAGUGGGGGAAUAUUGCGCAAUGGGGGCAACCCUGACGCAGCAACGCCGCGUGAAGGAUGAAGGUCUUCGGAUUGUAAACUUUUGUCUUUAGGGACGAAAAAGGACGGUGCCUAAGGAGGAAGCCACGGCUAACUACGUG
rnacentral:rRNA from 1 species